GAUUGAAGAACGCAGCGAAAUGCGAUAAGUAAUGCGAAUUGCAGAAUUUCCGUGAGUCAUCGAAUCUUUGAACGCACAUUGCGCCCACUGGUAUUCCGGUGGGCAUGCCUGUUCGAGCGUCAUUAUCCUCCCUCAAACCCCGGGUUUGGUGUUGGACCCAAGUUGUGUGAACAACUGGUCUCAAAGACAAUGACGGCGUCCGUGGGACCCUCGGUGCAACGAGCUUUUAGGAGCACGCAUCGAGUUGCAAGGACCUUCCGGGCCGGUCUCCUUUACCAUUUUACAAGGUUGACCUCGGAUCAGGUAGGAAUACCCGCUGAACUUAAGCAUAUCAAUAAGCGGAGGA
rnacentral:misc_RNA from 1 species